rnacentral:snRNA from 1 species
GUAGUGGCGCAGUGGCAGUAUCAUAACCAAUGAAGUUAAUCUGAGGUGUGAUUAUUGCUAGUUGAAAACUUUUCAAGAUGUGGGCAUACC